rnacentral:rRNA from 1 species
UACGGGGGGGAGCAAGCGUUGUUCGGAUUUACUGGGCGUAAAGGGCGCGUAGGCGGCCAGCACAAGUCAGUUGUGAAAUCUCCGAGCUUAACUCGGAAAGGUCAACUGAUACUGUGCGGCUAGAGUGCAGAAGGGGCAACUGGAAUUCUUGGUGUAGCGGUGAAAUGCGUAGAUAUCAAGAGGAACACCUGCGGCGAAGGCGGGUUGCUGGGCUGACACUGACACUGAGGAGCGAAAGCCAGGGGAGCAAACGGG